GGAAACGGUAGCUAAUACCGCAUAACGUCGCAAGACCAAAGAGGGGGACCUUCGGGCCUCUUGCCAUCGGAUGUGCCCAGAUGGGAUUAGCUUGUUGGUGGGGUAACGGCUCACCAAGGCGACGAUCCCUAGCUGGUCUGAGAGGAUGACCAGCCACACUGGAACUGAGACACGGUCCAGACUCCUACGGGAGGCAGCAGUGGGGAAUAUUGCACAAUGGGCGCAAGCCUGAUGCAGCCAUGC
rnacentral:rRNA from 1 species